rnacentral:tRNA from 1 species
GUUUUAAUAAUUUAAUAAUAAAAUAUUGGUCUUGUAAACCAAAAAUAAGAAAGACUUUUAAAACU